rnacentral:rRNA from 1 species
UACGUAGGGGGCAAGCGUUGUCCGGAUUUAUUGGGCGUAAAGAGCGUGUAGGCGGCCGUACAGGUCAGCUGUGAAAACUCGAGGCUCAACCUCGAGACGUCGGUUGAAACCGUACGGCUAGAGUCCGGAAGAGGCGAGUGGAAUUCCUGGUGUAGCGGUGGAAUGCGCAGAUAUCAGGAGGAACACCGGUGGCGAAGGCGGUUCUCUAGUACGGUACUGACGCUGAGACGCGAAAGCGUGGGGAGCGAACAGG